AGUGAACGCUGGCGGUAUGCCUAACACAUGCAAGUCGAACGGCAGCACAGUAAGAGCUGGCUCUUAGGGGUGGCAAGUGGGGGACGGUGGAGGAAUACAUGGAAUUCUACUUUUUCGGGGGGGAUAACAUAGGGAAAUUUACUCUAAUACCGCAUACAACCUCCGGGGAAAGGCAGGGGUUCUUCGGACCUUGCGGGAUGGAAUAAGCCGAUGUUGGCUUAGUUAGUUGGCGGGUCAAAGGCCAAACAAGGCGACGAUCGGUAGCGGGUACGACAGCAUGAUCAGACACACUGGAAGUGAGACACGGCCCAGACUCCUACGGGAGGAAGCAGUGGGGAAUAUUGGACAAUGGGGGAAAGCCGGAUACAGCCAUACCGCGUGAGUGAAGAAGGACUUAGGGUUGGAAAGUCCUUUUGUUGGGAAAGAAAAGCAGCAGGUUAAUACGCCGCGGUUCUGACGGUACCGAAAGAAUAAGCACCGGCUAACUCCGUG
rnacentral:rRNA from 1 species